UAAAUUCCAAACCCAGCAAACUUUUAGACAAAGACAGUAUACAUAAAUAUGUUUUAUUUAUUUCUUUAAAGCAUUUUGAGGACUCUUAACUACCAGAAAGAGAAUAAUAUUUUUCAGCAUUAGUAUAAGCAGACAUUUGCUCAUUCAUUUUGAUUGUCCUUUAGUUGUGAUCCUUGUAAGUCUGUUUUCUAUGGUUUUUUUUGGGACACAGUCACAUUUGUUCACAGUUUUAUAUAGGAAAUACAAAUGUAAAUUAAAUAAUGAUAUAAAAGAACCCUAGUGAAACUGCACAAUGCUGAAAUUGAGCAAUGGCAUUUUGCAGUUUAUGAACUAUUCACUUAUGUCACAAAACUGCUGAAACGUUUCCCAGUGUUUUUCUGCUUUGGAUCAGGAUUUUACAUGAUUCUAAUCGAAGGAAGUUUAACAGGAAGCAGAUAAUUUUCUCUCUUUUCUUAGACAAUAUGAAGUGUACAGCCAAAUGACUGACACACAGCCCAGCACUGCCCAGACUAGCUCUGAACCAGGCACCAGACUUUCCAGACAGCUGACACUGAGACCCAGCAAACACCACAUAGCGCUCUAUGGUGUUCUUAAUCCUGAUGACUGACUUCAAGUUAAAGUUCAUCUGUAACUAUUUUGGAUUUUGGACUGGGUCAAGAAAUAUACAGUAACUGUCUGAGGUCAGCCCCACCAUUUUUUAUUGAUUCACACUGACAGAAAGUAAUAUAUUUUGGACACUAGUAAUGGUUGAUGUUGUAUCAAAAAUAUUUCUGUAACUAACGCUUAUAUGAGAAAUUUAGAUUAUUAAUUUUUACCAUUUAACAUGAGUAAGUGGUCAUGACUGAGAAUAAGUAUCACAAGUCAAAUACUUUGAUACUAGUCAAUUAUAAUGCUGCAGCUGAAAAAAGAGCACAAACAUUUAAGGGAUUGGAAAGCUCAAAUAUCUGUUAAAAUGAUAUUACAAAACCAGUAUUUUUACUAGCUAAAAACAUCAGAAAUCACAAACUAAAUAAAUAGAAAUAAGUGAAAAGGGAAAUCA
rnacentral:lncRNA from 1 species